CUGGGACUGAGACACGGCCCACCUCUACGGGAGGCAGCAGGGGGGAAUAUUGCCCAACGGGCGAACGCCUGCUGCAGCGACGCCGCGGGAGGGAUGACGGCCUUCGGGUUGUAAACCUCUUUCACCAGGGAAGAAGCGAAAGUGACGGUUCCUGCAGAAGAAGCGCCGGCUAACUACCUGCCACCAGCCGCGGUAAUACGUAGGGAGCAAGCGUUGUCCGGAAUUAUUGGGCGUAAAGAGCUCGUAUGCGGCCUUGUCACGUCGGAUGCGAAAGCCCGGGGCUUAACCCCGGGUCUGCAGUCGGAUACGGGCAGGCUAGAGUUCGGUAGGGGAGAUCGGAAUUCCUGGUGUAGCGGUGAAAUGCGCAGAUAUCAGGAGGAACACCGGUGUGCGAAGGCGGAUCUCUGGCGCCGAUACUGACGCUGAGGAGCGAAAGCGUGGGGAGCGAACAGGAUUAGAUACCCUGGUAGUCACACGCCGUAAACGGUGGGAACUAGGUGUGGGCGACAUUCCACGUGGUCCGUGCCGCACCUAACGCAUUAAGUGCCCCGCCUGGGGAGUACGACCGCAAGACUAAAACUCAAAGGAAAUCGACGGGGGCCCGCGCACAGCGGCGGAGCAUGCUGGCUGAAUUUCGACGCAACGGGAAGAACCUUACCAAGGCUGGACAUACACCGGAAAGCAUCAUAGGUGGUGCCCCCCUUGUGGUCGGUGGACAGGUGGGCAUUGCUGUCGUCAGCUCGUGUCGUGAAAUGUUGGGUUGAGUGCGUCAGCGAGCGCACGCCCUUGUGCGGUGUUGCCAGCAGGCCCGUGUGGGACUGGGAACCCACGGGAGACCCC
rnacentral:rRNA from 1 species